rnacentral:rRNA from 1 species
UGCGAUACCUGGUGUGAAUUGCAGAAUCCCGUGAACCAUCGAGUUUUUGAACGCAAGUUGCGCCUGAGGCCUUGCGGCUGAGGGCACGUCUGCCUGGGCGUCACGCCAAAAGACACUCCACCGCAAUUGCGGUCUGGACGUGGUGUUUGGCCCCUCAUCCCGUAGUGUAUGGUGGGCCAAAGAUGCGGCUGCUGGCGGUGCCGGUCACAGCACAUGGUGGAUGACACAAGUUAUUCUCGGUGUUAUGAUCUGACAACCCUCGGUCAUGUUAUGCCCCUUUGGACCCAUGGUUUGGAGCGUAUGUAGCUCGGACCGCGACCCCAGGUCAGUCGGGACUACCCGCUGAAUUUAAGCAUAUCAAUAAGCGG